rnacentral:misc_RNA from 1 species
AAGUCGUAACAAGGUAACCGUAGGUGAACCUGCGGUUGGAUCACUAACAAAUACAAGGCGCCGGCCAAAAGCCGGUUUCCUUCAACACCUGUGCACUGUGAAUUGUCUCUGGUGGAUUACGUCCACCGAUCAUGAACCCUGAAAUACCUACGUCUUAAAUAAUUGUUUAACAAAAAACAACUUUUGACAACGGAUCUCUAGGCUCUC